GUACAUGACGUCAUUGGCGGGUAUGCUGUUUGAUUAGCAAUAUCAAUCUCCAGAAAUUGUCUAAACAUACAUAAGGAUACUUACAUAAAUACAUAUAUGAGACCUACAAUUUAUGAAACAUAACUUACCACCCUUAUGCUGUUUUCACCUAUAGGGUUAUUACUCAGCCUGCUGCUCACGGCGGUUCCGGGUGCAGUGGCUCCCCUAGCGAGACCCAGCCCUGUAACCGGUUCUGUCAUAACGGCGGCACACCGGCAGGGGAUCGCUGCUCCUGUCACCCUGGGUACAGCGGGACAUGCUGCGGUACAGACGUGAACGAGUGCUCCAGUGGUAACGGGGGCUGUGACCACACCUGCGUGAAUACGGCAGGCAGUUAUCAUUGUACCUGCCAGGCUGGGUAUCUUCUCUCCGGGACACACACCUGCAUAGAUUUGGACGAGUGUUCUCACAACAAUGGCGGCUGCCAGCAUACCUGCACUAACACACCGGGAGGACACCGCUGUUCCUGUCGACCUGGAUAUAGUCUGUCUGGAUCCAGAAACUGUGAAG